GUUUGAGGUUUGGUGCUUAAAAGGAAAUAGCUAGACAUAGGGUUUUUAUUAAGAAAAUUUAGAAUUAUAAUCCUAUAGAUGCCUAACAAGUUGUAUGCAUGAUAUUGUAGAGCUCAACACUUAUAAACGAACCACUAAGCUCUCGCUUUCUAGGUUCAUCUAUUGACCAGUGUCGAUCGAUGAUUCAAUAUGAAUAUCGAUCGAUACACUAUUCGAAAUGUUGACCGAUUAUUCUAUUUGAAUAUCGAUCGACGCUAUUGGUCAAGCGUUAAUGUGCGGGUUAAAUGUGCUCACUAAGGUCACUCGAUCAGCUCUCGCCUUACUCUUAGCAAAAAUCUUAGCUCAAUUAGAAUGGUUUUAGGAUGAGAUUAAAGCUAUCGCUUAUAUCUAACAAUCCUAGGGAAAGUUCAAGUUAACUAAUCUAGAAUCAGGUAUUAAUGACAAUCCUAAUGAUUAAUAUCACAACUUGACAAUCUAUAGUUGGGGCUAAUCUCUCAUAACCUAUUCAAACCCUAAAAUCUAACAAGGAAACUACUCAGAAAUGGCCAAGUAAUUCAUGACAACAAUUAGGUAUGAAAUUUGUAUUAGAAUAGUAAAUAGAUAUCAAUGGAGUUCCAAUCACAAAUAUAACUUUGUAUCUUCUCUCCAAUCUAUCAAAAUCCGAGAAAACCUUUUCUGUGAAAAUAGUAAAACAAGAAAGCACUCUUUGCCUCUAACAUGUUG
rnacentral:lncRNA from 1 species